rnacentral:lncRNA from 1 species
UUUGUAUGUAAACUUGAAAAAUAUAUAUGGAUGGCUGAAAUUCGCAAGUUUAUUUUUGCUAUAAUUCUAUUUCUUUUCUUAUUUCUAAUCAUAGCUGAAGCUAGUGGUGGUAUUCCAUCUUCUCUACCAUUUCAAUGUAGGAUUUUUUUAUUUUUAUUUUUACUUUUCAAAUUUCUUUCUUUACUUCCUAAUUCAUAUACACAACCUUUUAUCAUAUUUUAGUAAUAUUAUUUCACUUUUUUUUCAUUGCAGCAUAUGUUGAUUGUGAAACUGAUAAGGACUGUCCAAAAAGUGUGAACAUAUGUUAUGCUAUUAGAUGCAUUGAUAAAAAAUGUGACACAGUUCAGAUUUAUCCAAUAUCAUAUUCAAGGAAGUACAAAUAAUUCUAAAGAGAGAAUGUGAUAGCAGAAGAAGAAGAAGAAAAGUAAAAUAAAAUUUAUGAUAUAGAUUUCAUGAACUAUCAUUUAGUUUUUAUUGCACCCAAUAUUUUAAUUUUAUUUCUAUUCCUACUUUUGUUAAUUACCCUUGAUUUUAUACUAUAAGAUGAUGGUAAAACAACAAAGUAUUAUUUUGAUUAUCUUUUGCUGUCUUAUAAUUUUAGAGCUAUCACACCUUAUUUCCAUUCCCACCACCUAUAAUUAAGAUUAACUUUAAUAUAU